rfam:Pneumocystis murina B123 supercont1.8, whole genome shotgun sequence.
GGACCUAUAGGAUAGUUGGUUAGUCCAUUGGAUUCUGAUGUAUGUUUUCCAAUAACCUGAGUUCGAAUCUCAGUGGGUCCU